UACGUAGGGUGCAAGCGUUGUCCGGAAUUAUUGGGCGUAAAGAGCUCGUAGGCGGUUUGUCGCGUCUGCUGUGAAAACUCGGGGCUUAACCCCGGCCUGCAGUGGGUACGGCAGACUAGAGUGCGGUAGGGGAGACUGGAAUUCCCGGUGUAGUGGUGAAAUGCGUAGAGAUCGGGAGGAACACCCGUGGCGAAGGCGGCCACCU
rnacentral:rRNA from 1 species